rnacentral:rRNA from 1 species
UACCGCAAACCGACACAGGUGGGCAGGAUGAAAAUUCUAAGGCGCUUGAGAGAACUCAGGAGAAGGAACUCGGCAAAUUAACACCGUAACUUCGGGAGAAGGUGUGCCCCGGUAGCGUGUAGAGACUUGCUCUCGAAGCGCGAUGGGGUUGCAGUGAAAUGGUGGCUGCGACUGUUUAAUAAAAACACAGCACUCUGCAAACACGAAAGUGGACGUAUAGGGUGUGACGCCUGCCCGGUGCCGGAAGGUUAAGUGAUGGGGUGCAAGCUCUUGAUCGAAGCCCCGGUAAACGGCGGCCGUAACGAUAACGGUCCUAAGGUAGCGAAAUUCCUUGUCGGGUAAGUUCCGACCUGCACGAAUGGCGUAACGAUGGCCACACUGUCUCCUCCUGGGACUCAGCGAAGUUGAAAUGCUUGUGAAGAUGCAAUCUACCCGCGGCUAGACGGAAAGACCCCAUGAACCUUUACUGUAGCUUUGCAUUGGACUUUGAACCGGUUUGUGUAGGAUAGGUGGGAGACUGUGAAGCCGGGACGCUAGUUUCGGUGGAGUCAACCUUGAAAUACCACCCUGAUUUGUUUGAGGUUCUAACCUUGGUCCGUGAAUCCGGAUCGGGGACCGUGCAUGGUAGGCAGUUUGACUGGGGCGGUCUCCUCCCAAAAGGUAACGGAGGAGUACGAAGGUACGCUUAGGGCGGUCGGACAUCGCCCACAAAGUGCAAUGGCAAAAGCGUGCUUGACUGCGAGACCCACAAGUCGAGCAGGUACGAAAGUAGGUCAUGGUGAUCCGGUGGUUCUGUAUGGAAGGGCCAUCGCUCAACGGAUAAAAGGUACUCUGGGGAUAACAGGCUAAUUCCUCCCAAGAGUUCAUAUCUACGGGGGAGUUUGGCACCUCGAUGUCGGCUCAUCACAUCCUGGGGCUGUAGUCGGUCCCAAGGGUAUGGCUGUUCGCCAUUUAAAGUGGUACGCGAGCUGGGUUUAAAACGUCGUGAGACAGUUUGGUCCCUAUCUGCCGUGGGCGCUGGAAAUUUGAAGGGGGCUGCUCCUAGUACGAGAGGACCGGAGUGGACGAACCUCUGGUGUACCGGUUAUGACGCCAGUCGUAUCGCCGGGUAGCUAAGUUCGGAAGAGAUAAACGCUGAAAGCAUCUAAGCGUGAAACUCGCCUUAAGAUAAGAUUUCCCGGAGUCUUGAACUCCCUGAAGGGUCGUCGAAGACCACGACGUUGAUAGGUCAGGUGUGGAAGCGCAGCAAUGCGUUAAGCUAACUGAUACUAAUUGCCCGUGUGGCUUGAUCCG